rnacentral:rRNA from 1 species
AACGAACGCUGGCGGCAUGCCUAACACAUGCAAGUCGAACGAAGGCUUCGGCCUUAGUGGCGCACGGGUGCGUAACGCGUGGGAACCUGCCCUUUGGUUCGGAAUAACCAGGAGAAAUUCUGGCUAAUACCGGAUGAUGUCGAAAGACCAAAGAUUUAUCGCCAUAGGAUGGGCCCGCGUAGGAUUAGCUAGUUGGUGAGGUAAAGGCUCACCAAGGCGACGAUCCUUAGCUGGUCUGAGAGGAUGAUCAGCCACACUGGGACUGACACACGGCCCAGACUCCUACGGGAGGCAGCAGUGGGGAAUAUUGGACAAUGGGCGAAAGCCUGAUCCAGCAAUGCCGCGUGAGUGAUGAAGGCCUUAGGGUUGUAAAGCUCUUUUACCCGGGAUGAUAAUGACAGUACCGGGAGAAUAAGCCCCGGCUAACUCCGUGCCAGCCGCCGCGGUAA